rnacentral:rRNA from 1 species
CAGCAGCCGCGGUAAUACGUAGGUGGCAAGCGUUGUCCGGAAUUAUUGGGCGUAAAGGGCUCGCAGGCGGUUUCUUAAGUCUGAUGUGAGAGCCCCCGGCUCAACCGGGGAGGGUCAUUGGAAACUGGGAAACUUGAGUGCAGAAGAGGAGAGUGGAAUUCCACGUGUAGCGGUGAAAUGCGUAGAGAUGUGGAGGAACACCAGUGGCGAAGGCGACUCUCUGGUCUGUAACUGACGCUGAGGAGCGAAAGCGUGGGGAGCGAACAGGAUUAGAGACCCCAGUAGUCCCUGUCUCUUAUAC